rnacentral:tRNA from 1 species
GCUGAGGUAGCUCAGCCGGUAGAGCGCCGGCCUGAAGCGCCGGGCGUCCCCAGUUCAAGUCUGGGCCUCAGCA